rnacentral:rRNA from 1 species
UACAGAGGGUGCAAGCGUUGUUCGGAAUUACUGGGCGUAAAGAGCUCGUAGGUGGUUUGUCGCGUUGUUCGUGAAAACUCACAGCUCAACUGUGGGCGUGCGGGCGAUACGGGCAGACUUGAGUACUGCAGGGGAGACUGGAAUUCCUGGUGUAGCGGUGGAAUGCGCAGAUAUCAGGAGGAACACCGGUGGCGAAGGCGGGUCUCUGGGCAGUAACUGACGCUGAGGAGCGAAAGCGUGGGGAGCGAACAGG